UACGUAGGGAGCAAGCGUUGUCCGGAAUCAUUGGGCGUAAAGCGCGCGUAGGUGGCCCGAUAAGUCCGCUCUGAAAGUCACAGGCUCAACCUGUGAAAGCGCGUGGAUACUGUCGGGCUAGAGUCCGGAAGAGGCGAGUGGAAUUCCUGGUGUAGCGGUGGAAUGCGCAGAUAUCAGGAGGAACACCAACGGCGAAGGCGGCUCCGCUGGGACCGGACUGACACUGAGGCG
rnacentral:rRNA from 1 species